rnacentral:tRNA from 1 species
GACUGUAUGGCCCAGUGGUUAGGGCACUGGACUAGAAUCCAGGAGACCUAGUGUCUACUCCUGAUUCAGCCA